rnacentral:rRNA from 1 species
CAUGCAAGUCGUACGAGAGUUUUUAACUCUAGUGGCGGACGGGUGAGUAACACGUGAGAAUUUGCCUUUAGGAGGGGGAUAACAAUUGGAAACGAAUGCUAAUACCCCAUAUGCUUUCGAGUGAAAUGGAUUUAUAUUUAUCCGCCUAGAGAGAAGCUCGCGGCUGAUUAGCUUGUCGGUAAGGUAAGAGCUUACCAAGGCGACGAUCAGUAUCUGGUUUGAGAGGACGAUCAGACACACUGGAACUGAGACACGGUCCAGACUCCUACGGGAGGCAGCAGUGGGGAAUUUUCCGCAAUGGGCGAAAGCCUGACGGAGCAAUACCGCGUGAGGGAAGACUGCCUAUGGGUUGUAAACCUCUUUUUUCAGGGAGGAAUAAAAUGACGUGUACCUGAAGAAUAAGCAUCGGCUAACUCCGUGCCAGCAGCCGCGGUAAGACGGAGGAUGCAAGUGUUAUCCGGAAUCACUGGGCGUAAAGCGUCUGUAGGUGGUUUAAUAAGUCAACUGUUAAAUCUUGAGGCUCAACUUCAAAAUCGCAGUCGAAACUAUUAGACUAGAGUAUAGUAGAGGUAAAGGGAAUUUCCAGUGGAGCGGUGAAAUGCGUAGAUAUUGGAAAGAACACCGAUGGCGAAAGCACUUUACUGGGCUAUUACUAACACUCAGAGACGAAAGCUAGGGUAGCAAAUGGGAUUAGAUACCCCAGUAGUCCUAGCCGUAAACUAUGGAUACUAGAUGUUGAACAGAUCGACCUGUGCAGUAUCAAAGCUAACGCGUUAAGUAUCCCGCCUGGGAAGUAUGCUCGCAAGAGUGAAACUCA